GGCCAAGCCAGGGACGCACUGGUACGGGAGGAAGUUUCCUACGCCGUCUAACGGUCUUUUAGGGCUUCCUCACAAGUCAUACAGUGGUAACGCCCCCACCUAAUCACCAUUUUCUCGUCUUCCAACGGAGAGAAACGAGCACGGAGACCCAAGACCAAACGAAAAUGGAAAAGAACAAAUUUAGGUUAUGAAAGCUGUGAAAUUCUGAAGCUGUUGACGAGCUUAUUGGGAAUGUGUAGAUUGUGAAUCAUUUAAUUCUAAUUCAAAAAAAUGAAACGAUUUGUAUAUAUCAAUGAUGAUGAAUCGCCAACACAGGAAAUUUACUGUGAUAAUCGCAUUUCAAAUAGAAAAUAUACCUUGCUGAAUUUUCUCCCCAAAAAUUUGUGGGAGCAGUUCAGCCGAUUCAUGAAUCAGUAUUUCUUGUUGAUUGCUUGCCUUCAGCUAUGGUCACUUAUCACUCCAGUGAACCCUGCCAGUACUUGGGGUCCCCUUAUUUUUAUAUUUGCAGUAUCAGCAACCAAAGAAGCUUGGGAUGAUUAUAAUAGAUAUCUCUCAGACAAGAAAGCGAACGAGAAAGAAGUGUGGGUUGUUAGGAAGGGCAUCAAAAAGCAUAUCCAAGCACAGGACAUUCAUGUGGGUAAUAUAGUGUGGCUUCGAGAAAAUGAUGAAGUGCCAUGUGAUCUUGUUUUGAUUGGUACCUCAGAUCCUCAAGGUCUCUGCUAUGUGGAGACAGCUGCCUUGGAUGGUGAAACUGAUCUGAAGACGAGGGCAAUACCCUCUGCUUGCAUGGGCAUAGAUUCUGAUUUGUUGCACAAAAUCAAGGGUGUCAUUGAAUGUCCAAAUCCAGAUAAGGACAUCAGACGAUUUGAUGCAAAUUUGCGCUUGUUUCCUCCAUUUAUUGAUAAUGAUGUUUGCCCUUUGACCAUAAAAAACACAAUUCUUCAGUCAUGCUACUUGCGAAAUACAGAGUGGGUUUGUGGAGUGGCUGUCUACACAGGCAAUGAAACUAAGCUGGGUAUGAGUAGGGGUGUUCCUGAACCUAAGCUUACAGCUAUGGAUGCCAUGAUUGACAAGCUAACUGGAGCUAUAUUUGUUUUCCAAAUAGUGGUAGUUAUUGUUCUAGGCAUUGCUGGGAAUGUAUGGAAGGACACAGAAGCAAGAAAGCACUGGUAUGUCCUAUAUCCAAAUGAAGGUCCUUGGUAUGAACUGUUGGUAAUCCCUUUAAGAUUCGAGUUGCUAUGUUCCAUCAUGAUACCCAUAUCUAUUAAGGUGUCUUUGGAUCUUAUGAAGGGCUUAUAUGCAAAGUUUAUAGAUUGGGACGCUGAGAUGAUUGAUCAUGAAACUGGUUGUCCAUCUCAUGCAACAAACACAGCAAUAAGUGAGGACCUGGGACAAGUUGAGUACAUUUUGACUGACAAAACUGGAACUCUUACUGAGAAUAAGAUGGUGUUUAGAAGAUGCUGUAUCAAUGGAAUUUUCUAUGGGAAUGAGAGUGGCAAUGCCUUGAAAGAUGCCCGACUGCUCAAUGCUGUUGCUAGUGGAUCUCCUGAUGUUAUUCAGUUUCUUACAGUUAUGGCAAUAUGUAAUACUGUUAUACCUGUCCAAAGCAAAACUGGAGCAAUCUUAUACAAAGCACAGUCUCAGGAUGAGGACGCUCUUGUUCAAGCUGCUGCUAAGUUGCAUAUGGUUUUUGUUAGUAAAAGCGGAAAUAUUCUUGAGAUCAGAUACAAUGCUUCUGUAUUACAUUAUGAAGUGUUGGAGAUUCUGGAGUUCACUUCUGAGAGGAAAAGGAUGUCAGUUGUGGUCAGAGAUUGCCAGAAUGGAAAGAUUAUCCUUUUGUCAAAAGGAGCGGAUGAAGCUAUUCUUCCUUAUGCUGCUGCAGGACAACAAACAAGGACAUUUAGUGAAGCUGUAGAACAGUAUGCCCAAAUGGGUCUGCGGACAUUAUGCUUAGCCUGGCGGGAAUUAAAAGAAGAUGAAUAUCAUGAGUGGUCUUUGAUGUUUAGAGAGGCCAGUAGCACAUUGGUUGAUAGGGAGUGGAGAAUAGCUGAAGUCUGCCAAAGAUUAGAACAUGAUCUUGAAGCUCUUGGAAUUACUGCCAUAGAAGAUCGCCUACAGGAUGGUGUACCAGAAACAAUUGAGACACUUAGGAAAGCAGGAAUAAAUUUUUGGAUGCUAACUGGAGAUAAGCAGAAUACUGCCAUACAAAUUGCUCUUUCAUGCAAUUUUAUUUCACCAGAGCCAAAAGGUCAGCUUCUGUUAAUUGAUGGCAAAACUGAAGAUGAAGUUUCUAGGAGUUUAGAGAGAGUUUUACUUACAAUGAGUAUAACAACUUCAGAACCAAAGGACGUGGCAUUUGUUGUUGAUGGCUGGGCCCUAGAAAUCUUACUGAAGCAUUAUCGAAAAGCCUUUACUGAUUUGGCAAUAUUGUCGAGGACUGCAAUAUGUUGUCGUGUGACACCAUCACAAAAAGCACAGGUUGUCAGGAUUUAAGUUUGUAAUGUUGGUCUUCCAUUUACAUUUGUGUAUAUUUGGAUUGUCAACUUAAAUUUUUUAUUUAAAAUUUUUGCAUUGUUAGAUUUUUUUUCCCUGAAAACUGAAGCUAACUUUUGAAUAUAUUGUAUAAUGGGAAAAUGAAAAGUAGGUCUAGUCCAUGGCAUUCAAAAGGGUCCUAUUCUGGAUGAAGAAGUGAAUUGGUUCGUUUGGAGAAAAGAAAAAAAGGGCAAUCUAUUAAUUAAAAAGUCUUUAAUGUAGGAUCCAUACGUCCGAGGAUGAGUGAUCUCUCUUCAAAACCCACCAGAUAUGGAAUGGAUUAAGUAGAGCAAGUUCGGUGCUGCUUCUAUAAUUUAUCUCUGAAAUUUCUAUGUAUUCUUUUCCAAUCUCGUCUUCAUUGUCGGCUGAGUUAUAUAGUUCGGUUGAGUUAUAUAGUUCUAAAGGAGGAUAACAGAAUGAGGACCAGAAGAUAAGCACUAUGUUUGGGAAUUCGAAGGGAGAGGGGAGGUUCUGAACUUCUGAUAUGAAUAAGAGAAAGAAGAGGAGAUAGUGGAACCCUGUCUAAUGUUUGGGUUUAGAGUGCAAAGGGGUUGGAAUUAUGAAGUAGCAAGUAAUUGGCAAUUAUUUUCCUGUUUGUUCUGAAGAAUGGAUGGGUCAGUUUUGGAAUCAAUGGACAUAUGAUCAGGUCAUCAACGCUUCCAUCAUACAGGAGUUGUAUCUUAUUCUUGAAUCUGGAGCAAAGAAAAAUUGUGAAGCAAACAUAAUUAAUGGAUAAAUAUCCAAUGAUAUGAAAUGCAUGUGGUAUUUGCUUGCACAUUGUAGUGCAAAGAAACUGGGUUUGAUGACAUGUUGGAGUUCUAAUAGAUUUUUCUAUAGGAUUGUAAUAUGGAAUGUAUACUAUAGUAUUGUACACUGUUAAUCAGAAUGGAGGGGAAUCAUUUAUAUGAUUGGCACAUAAUUAAUAUAUGCAUUUGGACAAUUUCCUGAACUUUAUCUUGUGUUUUUGAUGAUAAUCUGUAUGUUUGAAUGCUUUGUGUUAGUAAACUUCAGGGCAUUCAGAAAAGGAAGGCAGGCCAAGCUUUUGUGUUAUGCUGCUCCUGCAAUGUUAUGAUGCAUUUUAGCUAGAGAGAAUUUUGUAGUUUUUAAGGAAUAAAUAUAGUCUUUACAAUUAUUAUGGGAUAGAAUUGCAAAGGGCUUCUGAUUCAUAUUGUUCAUACAUAUAUUUUGUCCAAUGAUUGAAACUAGUCCUAUGGAGGAUUACACAAUUUUUGCAUUUGUUCUUCAACUUAAAAUUUAAAUUAACGAUACUAAUAUAGUUCAGUAAACCAAUACUGAUUUGAGGUGUAUGAUACUUCUUUUGGUAGCUUGUGGAACUCUUGAAAUCAUGUGACUAUAGAACACUAGCUGUUGGAGAUGGUGGGAAUGAUGUGAGAAUGAUACAACAAGCUGACAUUGGAGUUGGCAUUAGUGGGAGAGAAGGCCUGCAGGCAGCAAGGGCUGCUGAUUAUAGUAUUGGAAAGUUCAGGUUUCUGAAACGACUGAUACUUGUCCAUGGGCGAUAUUCAUACAAUCGAACAGCAUUUCUGUCUCAAUAUUCCUUUUAUAAAUCCCUACUGAUAUGUUUCAUCCAAAUCUUGUGAGUUUCCAUAUUCAGUGCCUUACCUUAUUGCUCUCUUUAUCUUGGUAAUCAAUAAAUUAGCAUGAUAAAUAUCGAGCAUUGGAUAGACCUCUGAUCUCCUUUUUUUGGUACUAAAAUUAGCAUAUAUACAGUUUUUCUUUCAUUUCAGGUGUUUCUGGGACCAGUCUUUUCAAUUCUGUUAGCUUGAUGGCUUAUAACGUUUUCUAUACUAGUAUACCUGUUCUAGUUAGUGUACUUGACAAAGAUCUUAGUGAAGAAAUGGUAAUGCAGCAUCCCCAAAUUCUAUUCUAUUGCCAAGCUGGAAGGUAUGUUUCUUUACUCUAUUUGUGACAUUUCUCCUUCUCGGUUUUUUUUAGUUGGUGGGUUUACUCGGAUGUUGACCAGCAUGAUUUGUUGUUCAUAUGAGGAUUAUAGUUUAUGUUGCUCUAUGUUUGUUGAACCGACAAUCAUUAUUGACACAGGCUUCUUAAUCCAAGCACAUUUGCAGGAUGGUUUGGUCGAUCUCUUUUCCAUGUAAAUACUGUCUUUUUUGUAUUAUUUCCUUCUUUCCGCUAAUAAAUCUUUAUUACAGUUGAUGCAUUUGCUAACAAUUGAUAUUCAGGGACAAAAAUAAGGUUAGGAUUGAAAUGGAACCUAAUUUGAAGACCAACUAAUAUUCAUCAACUUUCAAUAUUAAGUGAGUGAAAAUUCAUAUGCAUACAGUUAAAAGAAAUAAAAGCAUUUACUUGAUUCUUCUGCUUAUCCAUGAACUUGUUAAACUUAUUAGAUAUAAAAGUUUGGGUGUGUAUAUAUGGGAGGGAUAUUUCUUUUUUGGUUUACGUUUAACCCUUUGGAAUGAGAUUUUAGUUUUUAUAAAUAAAGUUUGUUAGAUUCAUGACCAGGUAUGAAAAGUUGUGUGAACAUUAAUUUUGGAAACCUUCAACAAAGGUGUAAUUUCCAGAUACACUAACAAUUUGGCUGAAUAAUUUUUUUCCCUUGCUCCUGUACUAGCUUAUACAUUCAAACUAAUAAGAAAAGGUCAAGAAGUCCUUGAAUUUCAAAUUCUUAUCCAAAUGCAACUUCAAGGAAUUUGUCUUCUGAAAUUGAAAGCACAACCCGAUGUGAUAUUAUGACUUCUGAAUGCCCUCUUUGAACUUCUGGGUAUUAUAGAAUGCUCACUUGACUGCUCUGAAUGUUGAAAUCUGAUUUUAGUUUAUUGGGUAUAAACUGAAGCUCUAGUUUGCAAGUAUUAAUAAGUCAUUUUAUCAUAUUUUAUUGCCGCUUGAAGUGCUCUUAGUUCACCAAGUAAUUUAAGUUACACUUUUACCUAUAGAUUUACUCGGUCAUGUACUCACUAGUGUCCUUUCCUUGUCUGUUGAUACUUGUGUGAUUUUCAGGCAAUUGUUGUUUUUAUAAUCAGUAUAAAUGCUUAUGCUUAUGAAAAGAGUGAAAUGGAGGAGGUUGCAAUGGUGGCGCUUUCUGGAUGUAUAUGGUUGCAGGCAUUUGUUGUAACAUUAGAGACCAACUCCUUCACAAUAUUACAACAUCUAGCCAUAUGGGGGAACUUGAUUGCAUUUUAUGUCAUCAACUGGAUUGUUAGUGCCAUUCCAUCAUCAGGGAUGUAUACAAUAAUGUUCCGAUUGUGUGGACAACCAUCUUACUGGAUAACUGUAUUUCUGAUAGUUGCAGCAGGAAUGGGUCCAAUACUAGCCCUGAAGUACUUUCGCUACACGUAUAGACCCAGUAAAAUCAACACUCUACAGCAGGCUGAACGUUUGGGUGGACCAAUCUUGUCUCUGGGGAAUAUCGAACCACAACCAAGAUCAUUAGAGAAAGAAGUUUCUCCAUUAUCAAUUACUCAACCCAAGAACAGAAGUUUAGUUUACGAACCUCUAUUAUCAGACUCUCCAAAUGCUAGAAGAUCUUUUGGAUCAGGAACGCCAUUUGAUUUCUUUCAAUCACAGUCCAGAUUGUCUUCUUCAAGCUACUCAAGAAAUUGUAAGGACAACUAACUUCUAGUUCUUGUUAAUUGGCAUAAAAGCAAGUGUAUAGGCGGCGUAGUUGAUGGUAAAAGGCGCUUGGUGGAAGAAAUUUUAAAAUAUAAUUGUUGUAUGUUUAACAGUUUGAUUAUAGCUAUUGAUCAUGGUAAGUCAUAUGUGGAACCCAGUAUAAUCAACUGUCAAAAUUUAUUAGUUUUACAUUCAAUGGUUGUAUGGAAUGAUUUCUCCCUUGUUGGGUGUAGCAGCUUUUUGUUAGAGUUGUAGAGGAUACACUUUUCCAUCUCACAUGAUUUAUUUACUUAAAUGCCCAUGUCCUAUUUUAUUUUCUUGUGCAG
rnacentral:misc_RNA from 1 species